GCUCGAGUGGCGGAACUGGUAGACGCGCUGGAUUCAAAAUCCAGUAACUUCGGUUGUGCGGGUUCGAUUCCCGCCUCGAGUAC
rnacentral:tRNA from 2 species